GGACGCCCCAGAGGCUGGGAUCCGGGCGUGGCACAGGGGCUCUACGGCGCCCCCUGGAACACAGUCAGAAAUGUUGAUGUAUAGUUCAAACAUACUUGCACGUAUUCAUAUGAAACUCAGUACACAUAUAGAUCUCAUUGUGCCGAACAACUUUCGUAUUGCAUGUCAUAGGCUCCGCCCAACAGGAAGUCAGCUAUUUAGAGCUAUGUAAAAAGUGCAUGCUCUGGAAUUUGAUAUACUUGUCAUAGGUUUUUUACCCGAUUGCCACCAAACUUGGUCAACAUGAUCUCAAGACAUUGGGGAUGCAAAAUUGCCAGGGGAUUUUUGAUAUCUCGAACGGUUUGCUUGUGGCGAGGCGUUGAAAUUAUGGCGAGAAAUGAGAAACAGGAAGUGUCUAAUAACAUCCACAUACAUUUCCUGAUUUUAAUUAAACUUCAUCAAUUUGUUCGUUGUAUGAUGCCGAUCGCAUAUAUGUGACUAUUAGGAGUCCAAAUUAUAGCGCCA
ensembl:lncRNA